ensembl:lncRNA
GUUGAUGUGUGCAGAGGGUCCCUGGUUCGCUCCCGGGUAUGGGCGAGGGGACGGUCUAAAGUUAUACUGUUACAGUGGCAUGUCUGAGUAUGCAAGCCAUGGAAGAACUGAGUACAUUUACAGCUUCCAGGAAUUGUGUACAGAACCUUGCGACAUGGAGCCGUACAUUAUCAUGCUAAAAGAUGAGGUGAUGGUGGCGGAUGAAUCGCACGACUUUGGGCUUUUAAAAAAAAAAACAGGCCUCGCAAUGGUCCUCAGGAUCUCGUCACUGUAUCUCUGAGCAUUAAAAUUGCCAUUGAUAAAAUGCAAUUUUGUCUGUAGCUUACGCCUGCCCAUACCAUAACCCCACCGCCACCAUUGGGCACUCUGUUCACAACGCUGACAUUACGCGACGCCAUCUGCCGAGUACAGUUGAAACCAGGAUUCAUCCGUGAAGAGCACACUUCUCCAGCAUGCAAGUGGCCAUCGAAGGUGAAGAAGCCGGAUGUGGAGGUAAUGGGCUGGUGUGGUUACACGCGGGUUGGACAUACUGCCAAAUUCUCUAAAACAACGUUGGUAGAGAAAUGAACAACCAUUCUGGUGGACAUUCCUGAAGUCAUCAUGACAAUUGAACGCUCCCUCAACUUGAGACAUCUGUGGCAUUGGGUUAUGUGACAAAACUGCAACAAAAAAAUAGUCCCCAGUGUCAUGUAUUGGUGUGACGUACUGAUAUGACAUCACCACAUGGAGAACCUUCCAGAAGGACAACCAUCUCCACAGAGGAACUCUGUCAGAGUGACCAUCGGGUUCUUGGUCACCUCCCUGACCAAGGCCCUUCUCCCCCGAUUGCUCAGUUUAGCAGGGCAGCCAGCUUUAUGAAAAGUCUAGGUGGUUCCAAACUUCUCCCAUUUAAGAAUGAUUGAGGCCACUGUGUUCUUGGGGACAUUCAAUGCUGCAGAAAUGUUUUUUGUGCCCUUCCCCAGGUCUGUGCCUCGACACAAUCCUGUCUUGGAGCUCUAUGGACAAUUCCUUCGACCUCAUGGUUUGGUUUUUGCUCUGACAUGCACUGUCAACCGUGGGACCUUACAUAAACAGGUGUGUGCCUUUCCAAAUCAUGUCCAAUCAAUUGAAUUUACCACAGGUGGACUCCAAUCAAGUUGUAGAAACAUCUCAAGGAUGAUCAAUGGAAACAGGAUGCUCCUGAGCUCAAUUUCGAGUCUCAUUGCAAAGGGUCAGAAUGCUUAUUUAAAUAAGGUUUGUUUUUUAGUUUUAAUACAUUUAGCUUAGGCUACUACACAAGUGAAGAGCAAAAAAAGGCAAAUGUUUUUAAUAUUGAUAACUGAUGAUCAAUGAGACCCACCCCGCUGGCUGCUAGACUAAUUUGCCAAUCUAAUUUUUUUUUAGCUGAUUGAGUUACUGC